AUAUAAGGAAGUACAUAGUGUACGAGACCUGUCUCAUGGAGCUGUUCGAGGUGUGUCCUAUGUGCAAGCGUGUUUGCAGUGUGAAAAAUAAAGUGCUUGGGACAUUCAUAUCAGUGAAAACAGCUGUGUGAGUAUUGCGAGUAUUCCCGAAUUUGGCAAAGCCAGCCUCUUCUGGAUAGCACACCAGCUGGGAACUUGCAGCUUUCUGCAGCAGUGUACAUCAGUGGAGCCUCUUUCUUCAAACUUCAAAGGGUGUUCAAGGCGAUGCAUCUGCAGAUUUUUCUGUAUGAUACCUUUCGUCGGCAUGCCCGAAUGUUUAUAGAGCCAGCUAUUGUCCAUAAAUGGAACCAUUCCCAGGAUGUGAUGCUGCAGCAGCUCAGCGAAGAAAGAAAAGUAAUACUUGGUGGCGACAUGAAGGCUGAUUCUCCAGGGCACUGUGCAAAAUUUGGGAGCUACACCAUGAUGGACCUCGACACAAACUAUUGUCGAUCUCCAGUUGGUUCAGAGCAAUGAGGUUGGAGGAAGCUCCCAUAUGGAGAAGGAAGGCCUGAGGAGGAGCCUGGCAUUGUUGGAUGCACGUGGUGUAACCAUCGAUGGCAUCGUCACUGACCGUCAUCCACAAAUCCAGAAAUUUCUGAGGGACAACAACAUCACUCAAUUUUAUGACGUCUGGCACAUGGAGAAAGGAAUUACAAAGCAACUACAUAAAAUUAGCAAAACCAAGGACUGCCAGAAAGUAAAGACAUGGAUGCGAGCCAUCAGUAACCACAUCUAUUGGACGGCGGCAUCGUCAAUAACCGGGCCGGAGAGAGUGGCAAAAUGGACCUCCCUCCUGAACCAUGUUCAGGAUAUUCAUACUCAUGAUGAUCCCCUCUUCCCAAAAUGUCUACAUCCAAUUCGCAGCACAACGGACAAGCGUAGAUGGCUCUCAGGAGCAACUCCUGCAUUCUACAAGCUGGAGAAGGCGCUGACCAAGAAGACAGUCCUGAGGGAUAUAGCAAAGCUCAGUCCCCACCACCAGACGUCCUCUUUGGAGGCUUUCCACGCCGUGAUCCUGCGGUUCGCUCCUAAAAAUGUGGUCUAUCCAUUUCUAGGAAUGCUGUGCAGACUCUACCUGGCUGCACUGCAUUACAAUGAGAAUUCUGAUAGAGGACAAGCCACUACGUCAUCAGGGGAUCUUAUGUUCAGACUGACCUUUCCUAAGGCCAGGAAGGGAGAGUGCUGAGCCAAACCAGUGAAGACUGAGGCGACAUUCCAGUAUGUGAAUGAUUUGAUGGACAUGAUCAUGGAGAAGGUCUUUGUCGACCCAGCAUCCUACAGAGCUGAGAUUCUGAAGAUAAACAUCCCGCCGGAACUGUCUUCAGAAUAUGAGCAUCCAGACAAGGAGGAGGUCAUCGCCAGCUACGUCUCCAGAUUUAAUCAAGGGAGGAUGGUUUGAAGCCUCCGUAUCUUCCAUGGGCAUCCGGAAAUUCCCGGUGUAUGCGAAGAACCACGCAUGAUGGGAUAACAACCCGUAUCUUCCGCCCAAGGAAGCCCCAGCGCCAGCUCACAAAAUUUCUGUAGGCUAAAUACCUGUAACGACUGAGAAAAUGUAACAUUGUUAGUCAACAGGUUCUACAAUGUCAACAUCUGUGUUCACAUUUUCUCAUUGAAUUCAGUGAAUUCUUCACUUAUACUGUAUUUAGAUGCACAAAUAUUCAUGACUGCGUUCAAUAAAUGUUUAUUGUAUCUGUACAA